AUUUUGGCUGUGAAGAGGAAUAGUAAUUACAGAAGAGAUUCUACAGAGAGGGGAUACGGCGGCUGAGAGAUCCCUGAACCACCUGUGACGAACCUACCUUGGAGCCGCUGUGUGAAAAUACAGCGUGGCGCCAGCGUUAAUGGCGAUGAGAGAGAACUGCAGAAGGGCUGCAGUUAACUAGGGUGGUACCGCCGAGCUUUUCGGUCCCUUUU
rnacentral:ncRNA from 1 species